GUUUAUGCAGGUCGUCAUAGCAGAUGAGUCGCAUUAUUUGAAGAAUGCUCAAGCAAAGAGGACAUUUGCCUCUCUUCCGGUUAUAGAGAAAGCGCAGUAUGCAAUUGAGAUUCGUAUUAACAUGAAUCUGGCGCAAAGCGUAUGAAGAUAAUUGGAGUGAUGGGCCUGAAGACUUGACAGGUCAUUCUCGGUUUGGAGUCAGCUUGAUCACCUCUUGCUGCUUGCAGUAUAGUACAACUUUGAUUGGUAUGCUUUCUACUGUAAUCGGCUUUAAAGUACGAGUAGACUGCUUUUGAAGUUUGCUAAAGAUUAACUGUAGAACUUUGUUAUUAAAUCAUUGUAUUGGCUACAAAAUCUCCAAAAAGAAAUACACUCUGAAGAAGCAGGUUUGUAUAUCCCAUAGCAGUUGAAUGUGAUUCUAUGGAAUAAAUAUAAGAGAAGCUGAUUAAUUGUGA